rnacentral:rRNA from 1 species
CCUACGGGAGGCAGCAGUGGGGAAUAUUGCACAAUGGGGGAAAGCCUGAUGCAGCGACGCCGCGUGAGUGAUGACGUCAUUCGUUAUGGAAAGCUCUAUCAGCAGGGAAGAAAAUGACUGUACCUGAGUAAGAAGCCCCGGCUAACUACGUGACAGCAGCCGCGGUAAUACGGAGGGUGCGAGCGUUAAUCGGAAUUACUGGGCGUAAGGCGCUCGUAGGAGGUAUGUCAAGUCAAGGGUGAAAUCCCCGCGCUCAACGUGGGAACUGCCGUUGAAACUGGCAAACUGGAGUGUGUGAGAGGUUAGCGGAAUUCCAGGUGUAGAAGUGAAAUCCGUAGAUAUCUGGAGGAACAUCAGUGGCGAAGGCGACUAACUGGCACAUAACUGACACUGAGGAGCGAAAGCGUGGGUAGCAAACAGGAUUAGAUACCCCUGUAGUC